CAGCAAAUGAACUGUGACAGUCAAAAAACACCUUCCAUACAUUUGGUUCAAUAUUAAUUAAACGAUUUUCGUCUUUACACCAAUUGAAAAAUGCUUUUAAAUUAAAAAAAAAAAAAAGAGCCAUGAGAGCUAGCCUCAUAUACCAAAAUUAUCCUCGAACACGUCUGGCAUAGACCAUUUUACAUUUUGGCAACAGCAUACAAUUAAUUGUCAAAUGUUUGCACAGCAUAUUGUUGACCAGCACGUUUUGACAUAUCUGAACAUUGUUUCAAAGUUGUAAAUAAUAUUGCCAUGUCGCUAGGCUUGGCAUCUAUAACCCAGAGCAUAGGCCACAGAUGAAAUUUUCAAAUUUAGCCUUUUAUAAGAACCGGUCCAAAAUGGAACAAUUUGUUCAGUGCUUACUGUAGAAAAUGAAUCGAAUCUAAGUUUUGUGUCGAAAGAAGGCGCAAAAAUACCAAAGACAGGACAGAUAUAUCUCGGUUUUCCAUGAAACAAGAC
rnacentral:lncRNA from 1 species